rnacentral:rRNA from 1 species
CUCUUGACAUCCAGAGAAUUUAGCAGAGAUGCUUUAGUGCCUUCGGGAACUCUGAGACAGGUGCUGCAUGGCUGUCGUCAGCUCGUGUUGUGAAAUGUUGGGUUAAGUCCCGCAACGAGCGCAACCCUUAUCCUUUGUUGCCAGCACAUUAUGGUGGGAACUCAAAGGAGACUGCCGGUGAUAAACCGGAGGAAGGUGGGGAUGACGUCAAGUCAUCAUGGCCCUUACGAGUAGGGCUACACACGUGCUACAAUGGCGUAUACAAAGAGAAGCGACCUCGCGAGAGCAAGCGGAACUCAUAAAGUACGUCGUAGUCCGGAUUGGAGUCUGCAACUCGACUCCAUGAAGUCGGAAUCGCUAGUAAUCGUAGAUCAGAAUGC